UACGUAGGGGGCAAGCGUUGUCCGGAAUCAUUGGGCGUAAAGAGCGUGUAGGCGGCCCGAUAAGUCCGCCGUGAAAGUCCACGGCUCAACCCUGGAAUGCCGGUGGAAACUGUCGGGCUGGAGUCCGGAAGAGGCGAGUGGAAUUCCUGGUGUAGCGGUGAAAUGCGCAGAUAUCAGGAGGAACACCAAUGGCGAAGGCAGCUCGCUGGGACGGUACUGACGCUGAGACGCGAAAGCGUGGGGAGCAAACAGG
rnacentral:rRNA from 1 species